CGGCACGGGUGAGUAACGCGUAUGCGACCUGCCCGUUGCAGGGGGAUAAUCGGGAGAAAUCCCGUCUAAUACCGCGUAACGCCGCGGGGCUGCAUGGCCCUGCGGCCAAAGGGAGCGAUUCCGGCAACGGAUGGGCAUGCGUGACAUUAGCUAGUUGGCGGGGCAACGGCCCACCAAGGCGACGAUGUCUAGGGGUUCUGAGAGGAAGGUCCCCCACACUGGUACUGAGACACGGACCAGACUCCUACGGGAGGCAGCAG
rnacentral:rRNA from 1 species